GCUCUCUGCGGCCGCCUCUGCUCCGGAUUGCCGAGAAAAGCUAUUCUGGAUCUACCAGAAUGAAAGUGAAAGUGCCAAGUACUCAGCUUGACAUGGAGAGUGGAAGAUGCUGUCAGCCUGCAUUCUUCACCUGCGGAAGAGGAUGAAGUUCUGUCUAAGCAGAACAACCCCCUUCUUGGUCUGCAGCGUUAUCCCAAAACAUUCACCCACUUCUGAUAUUGCAGAAGAAACAACAAACUCGUGGUUGAGGUAGGGAGAAUGGCAGCUCAGAAAGUGCCUUGCUAACAUGUCCAUGGAUCCAGGGCAGCUGUCCUGGUGUUUGCUGUAACUUGUCCCAGGAAGCAGGGAUCACACUGGGACUGGGACUCUUGCAUGGAUGAUGGUGAUUCCCACUUCUGAAACUGUGCCAGCAUGGAGGUAAGUGGAGCAAUAGCUGACAAGCCAAGCACCAGCUUCUUGGAAGAGCAGCUGGAGUGAAAUGGGUUGGAAAAGGCUUUAAGGGUCGUUUCUGUGGGAAUGGGCUGACAAUCCUGCUGCUUAAUUCAUGUAAAAAGAAAUGACAGUCUCCAAGUGUCUCCUUGUUCAGCAGAGUUCAAUCCCUAAAAGACAGCCAGCAUGCCCACGGCCCAAAGUCAAGGAUGUGACUUGUAGGCACAGCCAGAGACUGAUGAUCUUCAGCAAAGCAAGGACCAUCAGUUUGGAGACAGAAGCACACUUCAGCAGAGGAAACUGCACCCUGUUCACACCUGAAGUUUGAAACAUCUGUCUGGGGGCAUGAACACCUGUGGGAGUAAUGGCUUUCCAGGUCUGUCUCCUAACAAGGAAUUUGGAAUCACUGAGUUGAGGUAGGUUGCAGCCCUGUAAGUUUAUUUUGAUACUUUGAAGGAGAAAAAUAAAAUCAGAAUGGGUGGUAGCAAUAUAAUUCAUAGUAGAAUUUGGUUCCUAGGCUGUGGUCUCCCUGUAGGCCCCAAAAUGGGCAGCACUGGGAGCAUGGGAGAUUUCUCUGCAUCAAGAGGGGACAUCAGCUGUUCGUCACUUUCUUACUCUUUCUUGCUCUUCCCUGCUCAUGUAAAUGAGUGAUGACUACUGGAAAUGAUGGUGAGAGCUGGAAGACAGCCUUCUGCCUCUUCAGUGACAUUUUCUCUUAGAAAGGAAUUAUAUGAAAUGAAAUUCAAAACAGAUCAUGCUAAAAUGCUUUAGACAACUUGCUAAAUCUUCAUUCAGUCAAUUCCUGUGAGCUUUUCUGUCAUUUGAUAGUAGUAUGGCUCUGUUAUAGAGAAGUUUUUGAUGUUCUGUAAAGGUUUUCAGUGCCCUUGGCAUUUCAGAGGGGAUAUUUGUGCACCUGCUAGUUGCUUCCCGUCCUGGGAGAUGAACGUCACAGCCUGCCCACGCUCCCCAAGAGGCUUCACUUACUGAUGAGCGCUGUUACUGCAACAGCUGAAGUCAGCACAAUUCUGAAGUCACGUCAUGAAUCAUAAAACAAGCACCUCCUCUCUUUGCCAAUGCAAACUCUGGGGUUUUCUGCCUCUUUCUAGAAGUGCCAGUGCUCCCUAACACUGCACAGGUGAGAGGCACAACAUAAGAAUCUUAGACAAAGCUUGGCUUCUCAGCCUUCUUAACCUUAGUAUGCAUUUAAUGCUAUUAACAGUAACAUCCUCCUUAAAUAUUUAAUGCACUUCCUGGAGGCUUUUCUUUUCUGAUUUCAUACCUGUUUAUCCAGCUCUCCUUCCUGCUACUGGAAGCAAACCUUGUCCCUGUGGCACAUGCCCUUGGCAGCAGAGCUCCCUGUGCAGCCUGCACUGCCAGGACAGCCCUUGCAGCUGACCCCACAGAGCCCCGAGCUGAAAGGCCGUUACAAAUUCAGCCUGGAGCUGAAAGGCAAGGCAGACUUCCUCUGGACAGCUUCUCCUCUGCACUGAGCACAGGCACAUUGGCCAGGACUUCUGGUGGAGCUGCAGAAGCCAGGACAUGGACUGAGGAAAGGCUGCAUUUUCCAGCUUAACUAAAACAAAACACAGCCCAACCUCAGCUUAGCUGCAAAAGCCAGCAGGAGCUCUCACCAUCCUCAAGUGCUUCACUACUUUUGAGCUUGAAUUUCUUUCCCUGAACUUUGAGUUAAUCAGUAGAAAUGCUGAGGUUUCCUGUAUUUCACAAAAGUGUUUUCCAACAAUUACUGCUUCCAACAAGGCAUCUGUUUACAUGUUGACAUAAAAAAUGUGUUUUGUUUUUCUUGUUCCCUUGGCUGCAGCUAGUUAGUUCAUUUGGGAUUACAAUGGUAGCACAGUAGGACUUUGUUUGUCUUUUCCUUGCAUGAAAUUUUGUUGAAAGUGUGAACUCUAAAAGGCAUUGAAAUGAGACAAAGUAAAAUAUAUUUUUUAAAUGAAAAGACGUAAACAUUUUCUUCUCUGUCCCAGCCUCAGAGGUUUUGUAAUCUCUGUUCCAGCCUCAGAGGUUUUGUAAAUCUUUGAAGUUCAGUGGUUUCUGUAGAAAUGCUUAAACUACAGUUUUUCAUCCAUAGAACAGUUUCCUCCAUCCUGCAUCAAAAAGGUUUGAAAUCCCCAAACUCUAAGAGAUUUCACUCUGCUAAGAGUGAAAGGCUUCCCUGGUUGCCAGGCAGUACCUGUCACCUUCCUUCAUCCAUGUCUGAAAUAUCUGAAUUUACACCAGCACAAAAUAAUGCCUGGCAAGGUGUGUGGUCCUAGCAAGGUGGCUGAAAGGCAGAAAUUGCCAUUGUGACCUUCUUAUUAAUUUGGCAUUAAAUUGUGGAGGACUGCUAAAAGCACCAAACUCAGAUUCCUCCUGAUGCACCUGGCAGGCCUCUGGUCCUUGGUGAAACUGUGGCUCAUGGAUGGUGAGUUUUUAUCCACUCUCCCUUUUUUCAGAGGGUUAUUUUCUCUCUGCUGCAUUUCUUUCAGUGUCUAAUGUGUGGUAAAAAUUAAUAUUUGAAUACUACAGCAUCUGUGACUUCUAACUGGGGUUGAGAUGAUGUAAAGGCUGCAUGCUCCUUUUCCAGAUACCUCUUUGCCUGAUGUUGAGGUCUAUAAAGACGCCUGGUCAAAAAAGAGUUGAGAUGGGGAAUAUUUCCCCUAGACAAUUAAAUUAUAGGUCCAAAAUAGGUACUGUUUAACUGUGCACACUAAUAGCUAAAUCUAGACUGUCUGAUUCCAUCAACUCUUUGAUUUCAUCAGGAAUUCAGUUUGACCUCUCUGAAAGUUAUUAUAAAAGAUGCAUAGAUGUUCUGUGGAAUUUUCAGAAUUACAUUAAUGUUUGCCUAGCACUGAAACAGAUGUCUAGAGGUUUUUUAAAUCCCAUUAAGAAGUAAGUUAUUUUCAAAGAUGCCUGAACUGAUGUAACAUAAAUUGUGUUUUUACAUUCUUAUUAUAAAAUAGAAGCUAAUCAUCAAAACAACAAUUCAAAUCCAUGCCUACAAAUUCUAAAUAACUUCCUCAGUUUCAACUUACACUGUAUAAACAAAAGCAGUUAUUGAUUAUUGCAAAUGUUGAUCAGGAGUCAUUAAAACAAAUUAAAGAUACCAGAGGCAGGUCCUUAUGUUAAGGAAAAAAAAAAAUAAAUGCAAACAUGGGUAACACCUCAGCAGUGUCAGUACACAGGAAAGUGCAUCUGGCAGAGCACUUACAGUGAUUGUUGUCACCUCCCAGCAUCACUGAAAACAUGUGGAAAAUCCCAGUUGAUGGAAUGGAAAUGCAGAUUAAUUCCUUUGGGGUUCUGAGGGGAGAUCCCCUGCUCUUGGAGGACAAGCAUCAGGCAGGAGAGUGGCUCAGAGGUGGAGACAGUGACAGACACAUUGCCAGCACUCUGCAGAGCUUCCCAGGAAACCCCCUCUAGCUCAAAAACUAGAAAGAAAAGACAGCAAUUAAAAAACAUCAAUUCUUCUCCCCCAGAUGGAAAAAAUCUUCAAUUUAAAUACAUAAAUAGGUAUAUGUUAAUACUUUUUUUUGUCAAAUGUCUUCUGCUUAUUUACUUACUCUGCUUAUUCUUACAUUGUACCUACUGAAUGCAAAAAUCUGAGUAAAUUAUUUUGGUUAUCUAAUCCUUAAACAACUUAGGCUGAAUGAUAAGAAAUUGGAAUUCUAUAAAUUUUUAGCAAGCCAUUUUUUAUCACUUGGAUUUCUCCCUAGCAGACACAUUUUAUCAUUAUUGCUCCUGUUCACUGUUUGUAUGAGGCUUAGGGGUCACAGUUGGAAGAGCUCUGUUGCAAGGCAUGCCAGUGGAGACAAAUGUUUCAUCUGAAGUGAGGUUUAUAACCAGCUGUGCCUCAGUGUGGAGUGAAAGGAGACAGAGAAAAAGCACACAGUCUUUGCAGAUCUGACUGUCUGCAUCUACUCUGUUGAGUUCAGUAGAGUUCAUAAAAUUGACAUCAGAGAAGGGACCAGAGGCAGAGAAAAGCCAAUGGAAGGGCUCAUGUGGGCUUGUUUCUGUAUCAGGUACUAACGGCUUCAGAACUGUCCCGGUUGUGUUGGUCUGACAAAGAGCCCGGGUGCUGCUGCAGGGUUCUCCAGAAAUCAAGGGCAGUCUGUACCAAAAGAUGCACCAGUGUGUUUCGGGGUGUGGAUCACACCCAGGAUUGCCCGCUCUGCUACCUUAGCUGUCAGUAACUGCUCCAGUCAUGCAAAGCAAACAGAAAGUUUAAAGCCAAAGAAAGUUUAAACAAAGGCCAAUAUAAAACCUGGCCUUUUUCUAUAUAUCCUUUAUAGAAGGAUCCUUUAUAUCCUUUUUCUCUAAUCUGUUGCUUUGGGUAAGCAUACACCCUCUGAAAUGGUCUUGUGCCACAGAUUGGUCAUUCCUGUUAAAAGCAUUUGGCACUACCCAAUCAUUUUCUCAGGGAGGGCCAGGUUAUACCUACAGCUGCACCUGAGUGGAAGUGGUAGGAGUUUCCAAAAUGCUUGAAAAUCAAUUUGGCAUAAUGGUGAGGGGUGUUUGAGUGAUUGAAGGCUUUGUAGUUACAUUUUACAUUCUCCCCUUUUACAGCAUUGUUGAAUUAUUUUGUUUCUGUGCAUAAACAAGAAUCAUAAAGAGACUCCCAUCCAAAAUGCUGAUGUUCCCAUGACCAAGGUGAAGCCACAUAAUUUCUGAGGCAAUUUUACCUGGAGCUUACAGCAAUCUAGCAGGAACAAUAGAGGGCCCUGUGGCACUGAGGCGCUGUUAAUGGCCGUGGGUGUCAGGCACUGAUGGCUCUUUGCUGGCAGCCGUUCUAACCCAAUUAUGUUUCUAAAGUGGGGCUGAAAAGCGUUGGAGGGAGCAGCGUGUAAACGGCACGAAAUGCACUGAGACUGAGCGACCUCCCAGAAAGACAGACAGGUGCCAGCUAAAGCCCCAUACGAUUGAUUUGCCACGGCUAAAACGGCAACCACAGACAUCUGGUUUUGCCCCAGUUACAACAACAGAAGCAAUACUGGGGUGGUGAGUUUUGUUUCCCACAGAAAUGGGCUGGAAUUCGUGUCCAGGGGUCUGACCCCACCCAGGUGCCUGUGACCCCAAGUGGGCUCCCACCUCCCAAAAUUCUGAAAUGGCACAGGAUGUCUCCCAGAGCCAACCUGCCACCACCAAGGAACAGGGUGCCCUGGCAGAGCCAAGCACCUCCUGCAAACUGACAUCAGGAAACUGAUUGUUGUUUUCUUAGUACACCAAGGCUGCUUAGAAUGAUGUAAAAAUAUGGCAUUUAACUGUCAGUGGGGGAGCUUUUGCUUUUCUGUGAGUAAAGCUUUAUACCUCCAGCACUAGGAACUGAGUUUUAAGUCCUGAGGAAAGCACACUGUGUGUGUGUGUGUGUACAGACACACACAUAUAAGUGACCUGUGUUUAGUACUCGGGCUUGUUUUAAUGCUGGCCUGGCAUUUAAGUAAAAUAUUUUUCUCAAAUGUAGGUACAGCUAUGGAAAACAGGCCAAAGCCAGCACAAAAAACCUAACCAUUUGAUUGAGUGGUAUCACAUGGGCAGGAAAAAACCUCACUGCUUCAGGACUGGUGGAAGAGAGAGUCAGCUGAGCAUCUUAUGAUGUUUGCACUACCCAGCAACACUCAUGUGCUUUCUAAAUCAUCUUGUAAUAUCAAGUGCAGUGUUUUAGUUCUUUGCUGUUGCAAGAACAAAAUACCAUUAUUACAAAGAUGUAAGUCAUAAGAUGGGAGCCCUUCUACCUGUUUCCUAGCCACUAAGAUCAAAAUCUUUUGCUUUUUUGAAUUACUUUGAAUUAUUCCCAGUUUUACAUGGGACUCACACAAGGCUGUGAUGUGGUACAUGGGUCAGCCCACUGAGCAGUUUCAGAGGUAAAAGAACUGUGCAGGAGUUCAAGUGUCCUUUGUCAAUGGCUGCUUCUUACUGAGAGUUUUUAGGGGGAGUAUUUCUUCAGUUUGCAAAACUAUGCAAUAAAGGACUGUAUGUUUGUAUGUUAACUUAUGCCGGGGUUUUUUCUACAGAAUAGAGCUUAAUAAUCUCUUAGUUAUAAGAACUUUGCAAAAGAUUGAAGCACAGAAGGUGAAUUUUGGGAUCCAAAAGCAGAGAUGUUAUGUUAUUUCUACAGCUUAAUGGUACAGCAAGCAUUGCUAGUUCUUUGUGUAGUGUUUAUGCCCUAUAAUUAGAAGGUCUAAUAUAAUCCAGAAAUUACUGGAGCUGUAAUUAUCAUCCAAAUCACUUCACAAACAUGACUUCCCUUUGUUUUUCAA